UUUAAAUUCUGGUAUGGUGUUCUGUUCUGGUAUGGUGCAUUUAAAGUACUCGGUUGCCCACUAGGUGGAAUUCAUGAGUCCCCACAACGAAGGGUUUUGGCUUGUGGCCAAACUCGUAGCCUACUAGUUUGCUACCAGCACUCAGCAGAAGUUAUAACUAUUUUUCUUCGAAAGUUAUAUAAAUGAAUUAACUGGAUAAACGUGAAAGAGACAUGCAGCGGUGCUGCGGUGCAGCCUACUGUCAAUGUCAACUAUUUCUUUAAAAUGAUUGUAUCCUACUGUAUGUUUCAUUUAAAUGUGUAUAUAUAAGGAUUCAUCAUAAUUAUCGGGUUUUUCUAUUGGACUUGCUAUAUUACCCAGUAUAUGGACGAAGUUGGCUUUAAGCAACAUGUUUUCCUACAAAUUUUACAUAGAGAGAAUAAGCUGAAAGUGCAGUAUUAUUCUAAUCAUCGCAGAAAUAAAACUUUUAUUUUAAGUCACCAUUUAAACAUUUUGUUAGAGAGAAAACUGUGAGAAAAGUAUUUUAAACUGGUCUUAUUCCAUCUAUUGGAGAUUAUAAGAAACCUGAUUGGUGAUCUUCAGUUGUCCUGGUACAGUAUUACUACGUG